AGCCGCUUGGGCAGCAGCCACUGGGCAGCCCUGCCGGAGGAGACAUCGCCACCCUCCCCAUGGUGGCAGCAGCUCUGUGGGCCCCGAGCUCUGUGUCAGGGGGGCCUCAGUCACAGCAGCGUGGCCUGGGCAGCCGCGAGGGCCCGGGCUGGCCGCCAGCCCUGCCUCUGCCCACUGCCCCUUCCUGGAGGCACCCAGUGGCCGUGGCCUGGCAGCACCCCCUGCCCUCCAUGUCCCCAGCCAGCCCAGCCUGGGCACCUCGGGCUGUCCCCACCCUCCCGCUGGGGUGGUGUCCCAGCCUCCAGGCCUUCUGCUGCAGGCCUGGGGGACAUUUUGGGGCAGCACCGGAGCAGCCGGGUGUCAGGGACCAGGCGGCUGCCCGGGGGCUGCUUAUGGCCUCUGACACCCAAUUCCUCAGUGCUUCCCACCACCCCGGCUCCUCCAGGGCCUUCUGUCCCCUUGGAACCUCCUGCCACCCACUCCCUCACACAUCCCCCUCGUGCCUUCCCACUGCCUUGUCCCGUCUGGGCCUCCGCAGCCCCUCAUCCCUUCACGGCCUCCCAGCACCCCGUGCCCUCAGGGGCUCCCCCAGCCCGGCCCGGCAGCAGCGCCGCAGCCCCACAGGAGCUCCAGGAGCUCCUCAGCCAUCACGGCAGCAACACACGGGCAGCAGGACACAGAUGGCGCUUCCUGCCUGCCACAGGGCUUGUGGCUUCAGCACAACCACCAAAGGCCAAGGGGCUUCUGGCCAUUUCCCCUGCACCACUGCACGCCCCGGCAGGUUGCUGAACACAAGAACCCUUUUCCCUCUCUUCCCCUAUGCCCCGCACACCCUGGGCAGCAAAAGAAAGGUCUUGGGACUCUUGUGGUUUAUAACAUAUCCUAUAUUAUUUACAUACUAGAUGGAAACGAAACGAAGAAAAAAACAAUCUCUAUGAAAAAAAAAAUAACAGAUGGCCCAUGUGGCCCCAGAAGACAGAGCCUCUCAGCCCUAACAUAUCCUAUAUUAUUUACAUACUAAAAAGAAANNNNNNNNNNNNNNNNNNNNNN
rnacentral:lncRNA from 1 species